rnacentral:rRNA from 1 species
CCUCAUGGCCCUUAUGGGUAGGGCUACACACGUCAUACAAUGGCCGGUACAAAGGGCAGCCAACCCGCGAGGGGGAGCCAAUCCCGUAAAGCCGGUCGUAGUCCGGAUCGCAGUCUGCAACUCGACUGCGUGAAGUCGGAAUCGCUAGUAAUCGUGGAUCAGCAUGUCACGGUGAAUACGUUCCCGGGUCUU